GUGAAGAAACUAUCAGGUCUGGUAAGAAUAAGAGGAAACAAAAUGUUAUUGGCAUGCUCAAUAAUGAUAAAGCCAAGAUGUCACCUGCCAGUACAAUGAAGAGGGACUGGGGUCUUGGCACUAAAAGUCUCCCUGAAUUGCCAUCAUGUCAUGAAAAAUACUUUGUUUUAAACUUAAUGGAAUGGAUUGUCAUUUUGGUGGAUUUUUGCCAGUGAAGAAUUUAUCAGACUCAAUAGCCUCCAUCACUUGGCAGGACAGAAAGGCCUCGAAAGCCUCUUUCAGUAUCUCUGAGCAUACCUAACAUUUAGAAAGGUGCAACUGAAGGAACAGAGAAACUGUGUAAUUGUAAAACCUCCUUGUGGCCCCACAUGGCUCAUACUCAAAUGAUUCCAGUGUCUAUGGCCUGAGAAGUGCUUCAUGAAAUGAGGAACAGUGCCUCAAGUCAGAGAUUGGCAUGGUGAGUCGCCGGGAGGUGGAAAAGAGGCACAGCUUCAUUGAAGCUACAGUUGGCUGCAAGGAACCAUUUCAAAUCAUCUUAGUUCUACGGGGCCAUUCAGGUGGCAAAGGCCCAGGUAACAUUUGAUCAAGUUGCUACAGGGCUUGGACCUACUUUUAUUGCCCCUUACUUUUCCCACUAACAUUUUUGCUUGAAAUAUCGAUGUUUUUUUGGUGCAGCAAAACUCUUUUCCCACAGCUAAAUUGAAGUAGGGCAUAUGUGCUUCCCUCACCUCGCUCCCAGUCCCUCUUGACCCCGAAAUGGUCUAGCAGCCUGUGCUUUGUUAAACUGAAAAUGUGUAGAAAUUUUUAUAGAGAUAUUCAGCUAUAUAAAUAGCUUUGAAAUUUGUCAUAACUUUAAAAACAGGUCAAAAAGGAAAUUGAACAGCUAGUGAGUUUCUGUCUUAGUCCGUUUUGUGCUGCUAUAACAGAAUACCAUAAACUAGGUAAUUUAUAAACAAUAGAAGUUUAUUUGUCUCAAUGGCCAACAAGCAUAUGGAAAAAUGUUCAACAUCACUAAUUAUCAGGGAAAUACAAAUCAAAACCACAGUGCGAUACCACGUAACUUCUGCAAUAAUGGUCAUAAUCAAAAAAUAAUAAUAAAUAAAUAGAUGUUGGCAUGGAUAUGGUGAAAAGGGAACACUUUUACUGGGUUGGUGGGAAUGUAAACUAGCACAACCACUAUAGAAAACAGUAUGGAGACUCCUUAAAGAACUAAAAGUAGACCUACCAUUUGACCUAGCAACCCCACUGCUAUGUAUCUGCUCAGAAGUAAAGAAGUCAUUAUACAAAAAAGACACUUGUUACAUGCAUGUAUAUAGCAGUACAAUUGCCCAAAUGCCCAUCAAUCAAUGAGUGGAUAAAAAAUGUUAUAUACAUACAUAUAUGUGUGUGUAUAUAUACAUAUACAUAUACACACACACACACAUACACACACACACACACACACACACACAUAUACCAUGGAAUACUGCUCAGCCAAAGAAAGGAAUGAAAUAAUGGGAUUUGCAGCAACCUGGAUGGAAUUGGAGGCUAUUAUUCUAAGUGAAGUAACUCAGGAAUAGAUAACCAAACAUACAUGUUCUCACUCAUAUGUGGGAACUAAGCUAUGAGAAUGCAAAGGCAUAAGAAUGAUAUAUUGGAGUUUGGAGACUCAAAGGAAAGAGUGGGGGAGAGGGAGGGAUAAAAGACUACACAUUGGGUACAGUAUACAAUGCUUGAGUGAUGGGUGCAACAAAAUCUCAGAAAUCCCCACUAAUGAGCAUAUUCAUGUAACAAAAUACCAUCUGUUCCCCAAAACUUAUUGAAAUAAAAAAUAAAAAAUUAAUGAUAAUAACAAUAAAAAGAAGUUUAUUUGUCUUAUGUUUCUGGAGGCCAGGAAGUCCAAGAUCAAGGGGUUGCAUCUAGUGGGGGUCUUCUUGCUGAGUCAUAACCUGGCAGAAGACAUCACAUGAAGAGAGAAUGGAUGAGAGCCAGCAAGCAAGAGAGGGCCAAACUUGCUUUUAUAACAAACCCAUUCCUGACAUCAUGAACUUACCCCUGCCAUAAUGACAUUAAUCCAUUCCAGGGGGCAAAGCUCUCAUGACCUAAUCACCUCUCAAAAGUGCCACCUCUCGAUGCUGUUGCAUUGGGGAUUAAGUUUCCAACACAUGAACUCUGGGGAGAUGCAUUCAAACCUUAGCAGUUUAA
rnacentral:lncRNA from 1 species